CGUCCUAUUAGCUAGUUGGUGAGGUAAUGGCUCACCAAGGCUACGAUGGGUAGGGGUUCUUAGUGGAAGGUCCCCCACACUGGCACUGAGAUACGGGCCAGACUCCUACGGGAGGCAGCAGUAGGGAAUAUUGGUCAAUGGGCGCAAGCCUGAACCAGCCAUGCCGCGUGCAGGAUGAAGGCUCUCUGAGUUGUAAACUGCUUUUGUACAGGAGCAAAAAAAUCCCUGCGGGGGUUCUUGAGAGUACUGUAAGAAUAAGCACCGGCUAAUUCCGUGCCAGCAGCCGCGGUAAUACGGGAGGUGCAAGCGUUAUCCGGUUUUAUUGGUUUAAAGGGUGCGUAGGCGGCUUAUUAAGUCAGUUGUGAAAUCCUAGUGCUUAACGCUAGAACUGCGAUUGAUACUAUU
rnacentral:rRNA from 1 species